AUACGGAGGAUCCGAGCGUUAUCCGGAUUUAUUGGGUUUAAAGGGAGCGUAGGCGGACUAUUAAGUCAGCUGUGAAAGUUUGCGGCUCCACCGUAAAAUUGCAGUUGAUACUGGUCGUCUUGAGUGCAGUAGAGGUAGGCGGAAUUCGUGGUGUAGCGGCGAAAUGCUUAGAUAUCACGAAGAACUCCGAUUGCGAAGGCAGCCUACUAAACUGCCACUGACAUUGAUGCUCGAAAGUGUGGGUAUCAAACAGGAUUAGAUACCCUGGUAGUCCACACGGUAAACGAUGAAUACUCGCUGUUUGCGAUAUACUGCAAGCGGCCAAGCGAAAGCGUUAAGUAUUCCACCUGGGGAGUACGCCGGCAACGGUGAAACUCAAAGGAAUUGACGGGG
rnacentral:rRNA from 1 species